AACGCGAAGAACCUUACCUACCCUUGACAUGCCAGGAAUCCUGCAGAGAUGUGGGAGUGCUCGAAAGAGAGCCUGGACACAGGUGCUGCAUGGCCGUCGUCAGCUCGUGUCGUGAGAUGUUGGGUUAAGUCCCGCAACGAGCGCAACCCUUGUCAUUAGUUGCCAUCAUUUAGUUGGGGACUCAUAGGAGACUGCCGGGGUCAACUCGGAGGAAGGUGGGGAUGACGUCAAAUCAUCAUGCCCCUUAUGUCUUGGGCUGCACGCAUGCUACAAUGGCCGGUACAAAGUGCUGCGAAAUCGUAAGAUUUAGCGAAUCACAUAAAGCCGGUCUCAGUUCGGAUUGAGGUCUGCAACUCGACCUCAUGAAGUUGGAGUUGCUAGUAAUCGUAGAUCAGCAACGCUACGGUGAAUACGUUCCCGGGUCUUGUACACACCG
rnacentral:rRNA from 1 species